AUCCCACUGAUUACAAAUUUCGCUGAUACCUGCCCACCCGAAAGCCUGGAGGCCACAGGGAGUGGGGUCCCGCCGGUCGAUGAAUGGCUGACAACGGUGGGAACCAUGAUACAGAUUAUGAGAGAUGAGGGUU
rnacentral:sRNA from 1 species